rnacentral:rRNA from 1 species
CCUACGGGAGGCUGCAGUGGGGAAUAUUGGACAAUGGGGGGAACCCUGAUCCAGCGACGCCGCGUGAGUGAAGAAGUAUUUCGGUAUGUAAACCUCUUUUGCCGGGGAGCAAGGGCCGGGACGAGUCCCGGUCCGGAGAGUACCCGGAGAAAAAGCAUCGGCUAACUCCGUGCCAGCAGCCGCGGUAAUACGGAGGAUGCGAGCGUUAUCCGGAUUUAUUGGGUUUAAAGGGUGCGUAGGCGGGCUUUUAAGUCAGCGGUAAAAAUUCGGGGCUCAACCCCGUCCGGCCGUUGAAACUGGGGGCCUUGAGUGGGCGAGAAGAAGGCGGAAUGCGUGGUGUAGCGGUGAAAUGCAUAGAUAUCACGCAGAACCCCGAUUGCGAAGGCAGCCUUCCGGCGCCCUACUGACGCUGAGGCACGAAAGUGCGGGGAUCGAACAGGAUUAGAUACCCUGUAGUC